rnacentral:rRNA from 1 species
AUUGAACGCUGGCGGCAUGCCUUACACAUGCAAGUCGAACGGUAACAGGUCUUCGGAUGCUGACGAGUGGCGCACGGGUGAGUAAUACAUCGGAACGUGCCCGACCGUGGGGGAUAACGCAGCGAAAGCUGUGCUAAUACCGCAUACGAUCUACGGAUGAAAGCGGGGGAUCGCAAGACCUCGCGCGGACGGAGCGGCCGAUGGCAGAUUAGGUAGUUGGUGGGAUAAAAGCUUACCAAGCCGACGAUCUGUAGCUGGUCUGAGAGGACGACCAGCCACACUGGGACUGAGACACGGCCCAGACUCCUACGGGAGGCAGCAGUGGGGAAUUUUGGACAAUGGGCGCAAGCCUGAUCCAGCCAUGCCGCGUGCAGGAUGAAGGCCUUCGGGUUGUAAACUGCUUUUGUACGGAACGAAAAAGCUCUCUCUAAUACAGGGGGUGAAUGACGGUACCGUAAGAAUAAGCACCGGCUAACUACGUG